rnacentral:rRNA from 1 species
AUUGAACGCUGGCGGCAGGCCUAACACAUGCAAGUCGAACGGCAGCACGGGAGCAAUCCUGGUGGCGAGUGGCGAACGGGUGAGUAAUAUAUCGGAACGUGCCCGGUCGUGGGGGAUAACGUAGCGAAAGCUACGCUAAUACCGCAUACGAUCUACGGAUGAAAGCGGGGGAUCGCAAGACCUCGCGCGAUUGGAGCGGCCGAUAUCAGAUUAGGUAGUUGGUGAGGUAAAGGCUCACCAAGCCGACGAUCUGUAGCUGGUCUGAGAGGACGACCAGCCACACUGGGACUGAGACACGGCCCAGACUCCUACGGGAGGCAGCAGUGGGGAAUUUUUGGACAAUGGGCGCAAGCCUGAUCCAGCAAUAGCCGCGUGCAGGAUGAAGGCC